AUUGUGAUGCAAUUAGAGCUCAAAGCUCAGGCCUCCUCCCCUGAGACUAGUAAAGGCACAUUCAGGAUGCAGGCUCUUGAGCCCAGCUGUCAGAGCUGUCAGCCUGCCUAAGCAGGAAAAAAACGGUGUGAGUCGAGUCGACCUGGUAUUGGAAAAAAGGCUACCUGUGAAAACCUACUCUGUAACCCUGAAAGUCUCAGCCCAGGGCCCUUAGGGCUGUCUCGAUGGUCGAGUCCCUCUGGAGGAGGAGGAGUUUUGAGACUGUGAGGUGGUUGCAGGAAACUCCUCUUUGGACUCCCUUCCUGAAAGAGGCUGUGAAGAGGAAUCAGGUCCCAUCAGGAUUGGAAUAUUGUCCUGUGAAAUUGUGGAACCCCAUCCACCCAUCACCAGAUAGAAUCUUGACACCUAUCUGAUUUUAUUGCUGCUCACACUCUGUGUCUGAGCAUGAAAUCUUAAGAUGAUUGAGACGUGAACCCUCAUGAUGUGAAGCACCUGCUUGGCUGGAAACCAAAUUCGAGGUGAAGUUGUGGACCCUAUCCACUUCUCACCAGACUGUAUCUUCACCAUUAUCUGACCUUAUUGCUGGUAACACUGUAUAUCCCAGGAUGAAAUCCCAAUAUGGUGGAGGAGUUUCCCCUCACAACGUGAAGCACCUGCUCGGAUGGAAACCGAAUUCGAGGAUUUGGUUUCUUCCUGGGAGUUUGCUUGACAUUUCUUCAGAGUUGCUCAAGUCUACCACUUCUAAGAUCAUGGACUAUCCCAUAAAUCCUACAGAGAAGACAUGCGAGAGUCCGCCGCUGACACACCUCCAUGGAGGGCUCCUUCUUUGCCAAGCCCAAGGACAUGUCGCUAGGCAAUGGUAACAUUCUCUGUGACACUAACUAGAGCUCACAAUCAGGUCUGGUGCUCUGAGACUAGUGCAUGUACAUUCAUAAGGCAGGCUCAAUCAUCUGGCUCUCAGAGCUGUCAGCCUGCCUAACCAGAGCACAAUGGUACAGGCAGAGCCUGCCUGGUAUCAGGAAAAACGCUGCCUUCAAAAACCCACUGUGGGACCUUGAAAUUUUUGACAUCUGGGCUCUUUCGGGCCAUCUCUGUUGUCCAGUCCCACUGUAAGAGGAGAUGUUUUGAGACUGUGAGGUGGUCACUGGAAACUGCUCUUCUGACUUCAUUCUUGAAAAAGGUUGUGUGGAAGAACCGUGUCCCAUGGGGAUUUUAAUAUACUCUGGUGUGUUGUUCUCUUGGUGACAGAAUCAUGCCUGAGAUCCCAGAGGUGGGUGUCAGUGAAAGAUAGUGGGGCUCUUGACCUCACUGACUCCUUUCAUCAUGGACCUCACAGAAGCGGUCUCUGAGAAUCAGGAACUAUGACAAAGGCGAGUCCAAAAUGAAGCAGUGUUCUUGCACCUCAGACUGUCCUCUCAGGUGUGCAGAUGGGUUGAGACAGUGUCUCAGAGGUUGUCUGAGGAGAUGACAUGUCUAAAAAGAGUGUCCAGUAGUGCUCUUGAGGGGCACAGUGGAUUUCCCAUUAAAGCAAAGAAAAAUCAAGGCUUGCCUGAGAGAAUGAACUGUCUUGUCCUGGAGUCCAAGCAGUGUUCAAUGGCUACUGUCAUAGGAACCAAAAGGCUGCUGCAAAGUACAAACAAUCUCAGCCCCCAGAAAGACACAAUGACCCACAUUCUAGAGUGCAGCCAGCCUAUCUGAAGUCUUUUUUGCUUUCUCAAAUCCCUGCCAGCUAAAUAAUCUGUGGUGAGCAGCAGUCCUAUCCAGCAACAGCCCAGUGAAAGAGCCUUGCCACAAUGAGAAGACUACACAGGUAACAUGAAACAGGCUAGAUUACCAGACAAAAGCCUGACAUGGCUGCCUACUUCUCAAACUAUAAGAAUCAUGCAGCCCUCCAAUUGAAGUGGAAGAACAAGAGGUUCCUUUUUUGCAGCUGCAAUGGUAAUUUGUGAUUUUAAAAGUAUCAAAGCUGACCAGUCACUGAAAUCUGACAGUGUUUAGAAGAAAACAUGCAAGCCAUGGAUUUCCAUGAGGGUUUUUCAUCCAUGAACUUGGAAACAUUUGGUGUGGAAGUCUUUGAGCCAUACCUAGGAAACCCUAGGCUAAGGAAAAACAUGGAAUUCAGGAAAAUAAAAGAUGAAAUUGUGAUACCCCGUCCACACCUCGCCAGAUUGUAUCCUCAACCCAUCUGACCUUAUUGCUGCUCACCCACUAUGUCCCAGGAUGAAAUACAAAGACAAUUUAGGAGUGACCCCUCAUGACAUGAAGCACCUGCUUGGCUGGGAACUGAAUUCAAGGUGGAGUUGUUGGACCCCAUCCAUUUCCCACCUGAUUUUAUCCUCACCCCUAUGUGACCUUUUUGCUACACACACUUGAUGUUUCAGGAUGAAAUCUCAAGAUGAUAGAAGAGUGACUACUCAUGACAUGAACCACCUGCUUUGCUGGAAACUGAAUUCAAGGUGAAGAUGCGGGACCCCAUCCACCCCUCAUCAGACUGUAUCCUCACACAUACCUGUCCUCAUUGCUGCUCCAACUCUGUUUUCAAGAAUGACAUCCCAAGAUGAUGGAGGAGUGCCCCUUUACAACGUGAAGCAUCUGCUCUGCUGGGAACCAAAUUCAAGGAAAAUUCAAGUGGCCCUGCAAACAUGAACACUGUUGUCUCUCUCUGGGUUGACCACAGGACAAUGAAACACCUGGAGAUAUCUGUU